UUAACUGUCACUUUUUUCUAUAACUUCUUUUUAUAUACUACAAUUUCAAAACAAUAUUACCAAAAAAUACUACCUCCCGAAACCAUUUAACAAAAUACAUCUUGUUCCAACUCAUCUGCCACAAUGGAAAUGUUCCAGUGUGGCAGUUUUUAACUAUAGCAGAUUUGCUGGUGCUACCAAGAAGUCUAUCACAUAACUGCUGGUCUCACAAGCAGUUUUAUAACCCACUAGUCUCACAUGUAGUUAAUUAGUUGUCAAUUUCUUUUUCUUUUCUUUUCUUUUUUUCUAAAAGCAAAAUAAAUAGCUAUCUUCCUUCAUUGCCAUCUCAUGAAAGUUUUUCGUACAGAAAUGGUAUUAUAAAUUUAUCUCCCCUCACUAAAGGGUUGUGUUAGGAAGGGCAUCUAGUGUAAAAUUUUGGCCACUUCAUUCUUUUUCCAUGGAUUUGUAUUGUCAAUGAGACUUUUAAAAGUCAACUGACAUUAUAAAUGCUAUGCCACUAACGUUAACUUGGUUAGGAUAAGGUGUGGUUGAUGAUGACGACGAUGAGCUAAAAAAAACUGCAGGUCCUGCCGGUGACAGUGACUGACUAACAGUUAACGUGAAACAAGCUAAAUACCUUGUCCAGACAAGGGAGAAAAAUCUGUGUAACUAAAACCAGCACACAAAUACCUGUACACACAAGAAAAAAAACCCUUUAUAGUAACCUAAAUCAUACUGAAAACCUGUACACACAUGGAAGAAACCUAUAUAAACAUCUAACAUGUCCAAAAAACUUGUAUAGACGUCCAACAUGUCUAAAAAACCUGCAUAGAUAUCAAACAUGUCUAAAAUAAAAUCCAGCAUGUCCUAAAACUAAAAACCUGCUUACAUGGCCUGUCCAAGAUUGCAAUGCCUACACAGCAUUAAUAUCCUGCGCUCUACCUCGUGGUUGACAUUGACCCACCAUGGGCAGUGACGGUGACCAUGUUGGUGGUGUGGACAGGAUGGGCUAAGUAGACUGCUGUGAGGGCACUGAACUCCUGCACCUCCUCUUCAAUAGCAGUGGCAACAACUGGUUUAGAGUUCAUCAUGGAUCAUCAUCUUGAACUCCCUCAACCCCACCAUAGAUAUCUCCAUGUAUAUGUGUUAGCAUUCGGAGAUUUCAAGGUGACAUGGGUUUCCUAAAAUCAGUUUAGGAAAUCUUGCCUAAACCGGUCUUAGGAAACUUUCCUAAGUAUACAGCUGCUCUUCUUUCCUAUUGUAUAGUUUCCUAUUAUGUAUAGAUAUAUAGUUUCUUAUUGUAUAGAUUGAUUGCUUUCCUUUUUAUGUAAAUACCUCUUCUAUAAAAGAAGAGCUCGUGUAAUUGGAUGAUUAUGAGAAUAGAAAAGAGUUUUUCUUCCAUUCAUUACAUGGUAUCAGAGCCGCCACAACCCUACAAACCCUAGUGCCUUCAUUGCACCCUUCAACGCCGUUGCAACCUUUCGAAACCCUACCUGCAUCACAUGCACACUUUCUUUCUCGCUACUGGUCUUCUUGUGUUUCGAUUAAGCUCUCUGAAGCAUGUCUGAAGCAAUGGUAACCGGAGAGACCUCACCAGCAGUGGAUCAAGUUCCUAAAGCAAUCCCAAAAGCUGGGCAUGGAGCAGUAGCAGGGGAGUUGCCCAACAUCCACCUAUCCUAUCAACUAGAUGGGAGAAACUACCUGUAGUGGGCUCAAUUGGUAAGGACAUUUGUUAAAGGAAGGGGUAGGAUCGGUUAUCUCACUGCCUCUCCUCCAAAGGCAACCAAUCCUAUGUACUCGACAUGGGAUAUUGAGGAUUCCCAAAUAAUGUCUUGGCUGUGGAAUGCUAUGCUUCUAGAGGUAAGUAGGAAUUACAUGUUUUUGGGUACUGCAAGGGAGAUUUGGGAAGUUGUGAAGCGAACUUACUCCAAAAUUCAGGAUGCAUCAGUCAUCUAUGAAGUAAAAACUAAAAUUAGUGGUUUUAAACAAGGGGGGCUAUUUGUCACUAAGUAUUAUAAUCGUAUGAAUGGUCUUUGGCUAGAGUUAGACCACUACUAGAAUGUAAAGAUGAUUUGCAGCACGAAUGCUGCAACCCUUAACCAAAUAUUCGAAUGGGAUAGGAUUUUUGAGUUUUUGGUUGGUCUUAACCCCGAAUUUGAUCAAGUGAGGGUGCAGCUACUUGGUCGAGAAAAACUUCCCUCUCUUAAUGAGGUAUUUGCUGUGGUAACAAGUGAAGAAAAUAGGAGGCUGGUGAUGCUAAGAGAAUUUGCCAUUGAUGGAUCAGCAAUGGCAGUGAACAAAGAAGAGGGGACAUGGCCUAGAUCUGGGCGAAUAGAGGCUCAAACUCGAGCUAAUGGAAGAGAGGGACUAUUGUGCACUCAUUGUAAGAAACCCAGGCAUACCCAUGACACAUGCUUUAAGCUUCAUGGCAAAGAGGUUAUCCUAAAUAGGAGUGGAGGAGGAUUCAAGAACUUGGCUACAAGAAACUAGAUUUAUCUAUCACAGAAAGGGCAAGAGGAGGAGGAUCGAAUGAGAGUGAAGGCCGAGGCUAAUAGCAACUCAAAUCUCACUCCAUUUAAUGCUGAGGAGAUCAGCAAGCUGAAGUCCUUCCUCAAAUCAAUGCAAGAUGGAUCCUGCUCCCUAGCACAAUUGGAAACCCCAGGCAUUGAAGACAAGGGCGAGGAUUGGUGUUGCUAAAGAAAAAGGUGGGCUAUACUGCUUUGUAGGGAAGACUUCUUAUCCAUCUAGAGACUAGUUGUUGGUGGCUUGUUCCUCUCAAACUACAGCAGAUCAUCACAAUAUAUGGCUGCAUCAUUACUGCCUUAGUCACCCUCCAUUUACUCUAUUAAAAGUUAUGUUUCCUACUUUAUUUCAUUCCAUUGAUCCCAAUAUCUGUCAUUGUGAUGUAUGCAUUCUUUCCAAACAACAUUGUGUUCUUUAUCCCAGGAGUAAUAAAAUCAGUUCUAAACCGCCUUGUAAAAUUCCUAAUUAUUCAAGGGCUCGAUGGUUUAUCUCCUUCAUUGAUAAUUGUACACGAAUGACAUGAGUGUUUUUGAUAAAAGAUAAGGCAACCAUAGGAAUAGUGUUGCCAAAUUUUUGAAAGAUGAUUACUACUUAAUUUGGAACACCUAUACAGAAACUUAAAUGUGGCUUGUACCCUACUUCAUCAUCAUAGAGUUCUUAAAAUUUUUUUGGGGGAGGCUAUCCUCACUACUGCCUUUCUUAUUAAUCGAGUACCCAUUAAGCUCCUUCACCAACAAAGCCCUCUUACUUGUCUAACCACUCAUUUUUCAGACUUCAAUGUGCAUAAUCCUCUUCCUCUUAGAGUGUUUGGGUGUGUAUUCUUUGUCCACAUAUCCAAACAACAUCGAGAUAAGUUGGAUCCAAGGGCACUCAAGUGUGUUUUCCCGGGAUAUUCUCCUACCCAAAAGGGAUAUAAGUGUUACCAUCCUUCUACUCGCAAGCUAUAUGUCUACAAAGAUGUUACAUUUGUUGAGUCCCUUCUUUUUUUUGGUUCCUCUCCAGCUAGUCCUCGGGGGGAGAGACUUUACCAUGAGAACUAUAGCUUUGAUGACACUCUCUUGUCUGCCUCCCAGCAUACUCCUCACUCUAGUUCUAAUUCUCUUGACCAAACCAGCCCUACUACCACUCAAAAACUCAACCAUCACCAACCCGACCUUUUCCUCCUCUCAUUGGCAGCCUGUUUUGGAUGGAACCUACAACAGCUAGAUGUAAAAAAUGCAUUCCUCCAUGGGGAUUUGGAGGAGGGCGUAUAUAUGGAAUUGCCACCAAGGUUCCAAGAAGGGCAGGUAUGUAAGCUCAAGAAAGCUCUAUAUGGGCUUAAGCCGUCUCUAAGGGCUUGGUUUGAACGGUUUUCCAAUGCUAUGAAAGCUUUCAAGUAUGAGCAAAGUAGGGGAGACCACACUGUCUUCAUAAAAUACUCCAGAGAAGGUAAAAUGACAGUUCUGUUAGUAUAUGUAGAUGAUAUGAUUGUCACAGACAAUGAUAAGGAGGAGUAAGGAAAACUCAAGGAAAGGCUAACUAGGGAAUUCAUGAUCAAAGACUUGGGGGUUCUCAAGUAUUUUUUGCAUUGUUCUAAAAGGUGGCCAAGGGGCCACCACGAAUCAGUCCAAAUCAGCACCCUUAGGCGUCGUUGGGCUCGAUCAGCGAGUUGCCGCUUGGGUCACCACCUGGCCUGGGCUGCCUGGGUUGGGCGCGGCCUGGGCCGAUUAUCAUUCCCUCUCUCUCUCAUCGUUACUCUUUCUCGCUGUUUUCCCAUUCACUAUCUCUCGUCAGACUUGUCGCCGCUGCCAAUCUCGUCAUUUCUCUCUCUCUCUCUCGUUGCUGAUCUCGUUGUUUCUCUCUCUCUCUCUUGCCGUCGAUCGGGCUGUUCUCUCCCUGUAGUUCUUGCUCUUCUUCCUCCGGUAUGUAUGGCCAUCUUCCUCCUUGCUACUUGUUGCGCCAUCUUUGUUAAGCAGCUAGCCAUCUUCCUCCUUGCUGCUUGUAGGCAGGCAACAUUUUUCCAGGCACCGCCUAGGUGCUAAGCCCUCGUCGGCCGCCCGACUAGUGCCUAGCGAGUUUUAGAACACUGAUUUUUUGGGAAUUGAAGUUACCUAUUUUAAAGCUGGAAUCUUUCUUUCUCAAAGGAAGUAUGUGCUGGAAUUGUUGGUAGAAACAGGGUUAACAGGUGGAAAAGGGUCUAAAAUCCCUAUUGAAUCUAACAAUAGGUUGUGGAACAACCCUAGCAGCUAAUCAGUGGACAAGGGAAGGUACCAAAGACUUGUUGGAAGGCUAAUAUAUCUCUCCAACGCAAGGCCUAACAUCGAUUUUGCAGUCAGUUUUGUGAGCCAAUUCAUGCACAGCCCAACUAAAGAGCAUAUGCUUGCUAUAAGAAAGAUUCUAAGUUACCUCAACACCACUCCAGGUAGCUAUUUAAAGCAGGGAAUGAGAUGGACAUCAAGGCUUUCUCAGAUGCUUAUUAUGUUGGCUCUAUAACAAAUAGGCAAUCAACAAGUGGUUAUUGUGUUUAUCUAGGCGGGAACUUGGUGUCAUGGAGUGCAGUAAGAAGCAAAGUAUUGUAGCAAGAUCAAGUGCAGAAGUGAAAUUUAGAGCUAUGGCCCUUUGCCUAUGUGAAGUUUUGUGGGUAAAAAUUAUCCUUGAAGACCUGAGGAUUCAAGCCCAGUGAUCAAUUCGACUUUGGUGUGAUAACCAAUCAGCAAUCAGCAUAGCCAAUAAUCCUGUCCAAUAUGACAGGACUAAACAUGUUGAGGUAGACUCAUUUCAUCAAGGAGAAGUUGGAAGCCGGCCUAAUUCAUUUACCCUAUGUGCCAUCCGAAGAACAAGUUGCAGAUAUCCUAACCAAAGGGCUACCAGUGAAGAGGUUUGAAGACUUAGUAAGCAAGUUGAGAAUGUGGGAUAUAUAUUCUCCAGCUUGAGGGGAAGUGUUAGCAUUUGGAGAUUUCAAGAUGACAUGGGUUUCCUAAAAUCAGUUUAGGAAAUCUUGCCUAAACCGGUUUUAGGAAACUUUCCAAAGUAUACAGUUGCUCUUCUUUCCUAUUGUAUAAUUUCCUAUUGUGUAUAGAUCUAUAGUUUCCUAUUGUAUAGAUUGAUUGCUUUCCUUUUUAUGUAAAUACCUCUUCUAUAAAAGAAGAGCUUGUGUAAUUGGAUGAUUAUGAGAAUAGAAAAGAGUUUUUCUUCCAUUCAUUACAAUAUGCUAGGGCCAGCAUGGUGCAAUGCAUCAUCAUCUCUUAGUGCGUCAAACAAGUUUAUCAUUGCCACGAACUGGCACUGACGAGAUGAUAUCAAGGAUGGCUGCACACCUGUCCUCUGUGCCCCAUGUGGAUAGUGCAGAAAAGCUUUGUUGGUAAAUCAUACAAGCACAACACUGACAUUAGAAAUUAUAAUUAGCAAAAUUAAAUAUAAACAGUACUACACAUAUUUGAAAGAUUAAACUAAAUUAGAAAGACUGCACAAUUCAGACAAUGGCAUCUCUACCUCCUGAUGGUGAAAAAUAUAUAUAUAUAUAUAUAUAUUUUUUCUGUAAAUCUUGAUGGUGAAAGAUUAUUGGUAGUGAUUGGAUGGGGACAAGAUAAUUCGAAGGGUAAUCUACCAGUACCCUGUCAUAUAAUUGCUGAAGUAGUGAGUGUUAGAGUAUAUGCAAGAGUUGCACAAUGGAGGGGGUUAAUUAACUAGAACGGUAUCCUUCCAACUAAUGAAUUGCCAGUGGGACCUGAGGCUUGUAAGUCGCUGGUGCCACAGUGGCUGAUAAGCCACCUGUCCCACCAGUGUUUUAUAGUUGGGAUUUAAAAAAUAGAAAGGCCUAAAAAGAUAUUAACUGCUAGUGAGGCCAACGGCUAUAAAACCGGCAGUCUCACAGGCAGUUAUAUGACUGGUGCUGGUAUGACCAGCUAGUCUUCUUUGGUUAAAAUCUGCCACACUGGUACGUUUCUAGUGUGGUGGAUGAGUUGGAAAAAAAUCAAAAAUAGUUUGUGGUAGUACUAUUUCUAAAAUUUGUUUUAAAAUCAUAGUAUUGAAAAAACUCUCUUCUAUAACAAAAUUGUAAUUUACGUAAUAUGCUCAGUGGCAUGGUUUAAGUAGAUCCUGUUCUUGAGUGGACAACUCAGUUCUGAUUCUCAAAGGCACUUCCUGACAUUUGAAACUCUAUGGAUUAUUCUUUUUGAGUUGGUUGUUUGCCUUAUUCUGCUCUCUUCCUUGAGGUUUGAGACAGGAGAGCUAUUAUCUAGAAAUUUGAACAAGAUUUGAUCAUGUGAACAACACCAUUUCUCUAGACCCUCGUGUGAACAUCAAUAGUAUAAAUAUGCAUCUCAAUACCUCUGGGGGAUAUUUUUCCAUUUCCUUGUUAGCUUCUUGAACAUAGGAAGCUGCACAAAUGGUCUGUUUCCCCUUCCUGUACAGAAACCUUUUCUACUAUGCACUCUUUUUAUGGUAACUGCUGAAGAAAUGCUUUAUCACACAUUGGCCCGAUCAAAUUAGUGAGAAUAUUUUACGUUAAUUUAAGGAAAACUAGAUGGUGCUAUCAUCUGUCUGAUAUGUUCAUUAGAUCCGUUGUAAAAGUGUGCUCCUAUUCCCUAUGUGAUUUUGGGACAUGGUUAAGUGGAAUUUGUUUUUAA